GCGGGAAUCAACUUAUUGGUAAGUCUAUGAUAUUUUUUCUUUCCUUAUUUUAUUUUUUUAGUCUUUAUUUUUACAUUCUUUUUAAAAUUGUGGAUUCAAUUAGAGGGAGAGGUUUAUCUAAACAGUUAAAAUUUUGAUAUCAUAUAAUGUUGAGUGGGGUAUAGGAAUUGAUUCAAUUCUUCUCAUACCCUAUCGCGUCACUAUGGUAUAACAUUGAGAUAUUAAUUGCAAUCACUUUUUCUAAAGACCUUACACAUUUGGAAACUUGAUUUAGAAAAUCCUAUUCUAGUUUUUUAAAAGCCAAUGGAGAUUAAGACACAAAGCAUAAUGGAGCACAUGUGCAAGGAGAUGAGCAUUGCAUAAAUGCAACUCAAAAUGUGCAUGGGCCACACGGGACAAAAAUUAUUAUACUAAGUCGGCCACUCACUAGAUCAUGGACCAAGAGACUCAAGUAAGCCUUUCAAGUUUACGUUCAAGAAUGAAUAAGGAAUGUUUGGGCUGAACAAUAAAGAAGUGGACCAAAUUCACUAAGUCACAUGGAGAAGUAGCUCGUUGAUCUUCUACAAGUCAUUAGG
rnacentral:lncRNA from 1 species